UUCUGGGAGAAUUGACCGAUUAAGAGCUCUUUCUUGAUUCGGUGCAUGGUGAUGCAUGUCUGUUCUUAGUUGAUGGAGCGACUUGUCCGGUUAAUUCUGAUAACCAACGAGACUCUAGCCUAUUAAAUAGCUGCGUGGUUCUCUGCACCUUGCAUCCUUCUUAGAGGGACAAGGGGCUCCUAGCCGCUCGAAACAGAGCAGUAAGAGGUCUGUGAAGCCCUUAGAU
rnacentral:rRNA from 1 species